GUCGAGGGGUAGCAGGGUAGCAAUACCGCUAGACGACCGGCGCACGGUGAUAACACGUAUCCAACCUUCCCAUAACUACAGGGAUAGCCUUUUACGAAAGAAAGAUUAAUACCUGAUAGUACUUUUUCAAGGCAUCUUGAGAAAGUUAAAGAUUUAUUGGUUAUGGAUGGGGAUGCGUUCCAUUAGAUAGUUGGUGAGGUAACGGCUCACCAAGUCUUCGAUGGAUAGGGGUUCUGAGAGGAAGGUCCCCCAACAUUGGUACUGAGACACGGACCAAACUCCUACGGGAGGCAGCAGUGAGGAAUAUUGGUCAAUGGGCGAGAGCCUGAACCAGCCAAGUAGCGUGAAGGAUUAGAAGGUCCUAUGGAUUGUAAACUUCUUUUAUAGUAGAAUAAAGUGAUCCACGUGUGGAUUUUUGUAUGUAUACUAUGAAUAAGGAUCGGCUAACUCCGUGCCAGCCGCAGC
rnacentral:rRNA from 1 species